rnacentral:rRNA from 1 species
CAGUGGGGAAUUUUCCGCAAUGGGCGAAAGCCUGACGGAGCAAUGCCGCGUGGAGGUGGAAGGCCUACGGGUCGUCAACUUCUUUUCUCGGAGAAGAAACAAUGACGGUAUCUGAGGAAUAAGCAUCGGCUAACUCUGUGCCA